GUAAAGCAAACAAGUCGAAAACAGAAAGAUAGCGAUGCUCGUUCUUUUCUUUUUACAUGGUCGCAUGUAUCUUUCAGUUCCUCUGCGCCCUGACCUUACCAAUGGGAAACCGGGUCAUCACUUAUGUUGAAGAAAACCACGAGGACAAACGGUUGAUAUUCAUGGCAAAGUACUACUGCGUGAAAUUGCAUGCACUAUUUGGAGUUGCUCUGGCUGUUGGACUGGUAGUAGCUCGAAAGAUGGCUUAAGAUGAAGUUCAUUGUUUGCUAAUGCGUGACCGAGUGAAAAAGACCCGUCACAAGCAACGACCCGUCAAAAUGAAAUUCUGAUGCAGUGAAAAAGAAUAAAGAUGCAAGGAAAUCUUUAUCUCGAACUCGAUGAAUGUGACUGGGUUCCCAGCACAUAUGCAACAAAGAAAAUUCCACCUGUAACAUAUGGACAAUCAUCAGACUG